rnacentral:rRNA from 1 species
AUGAACAAGAAACAAAAAACAUCUUCAGGGAAGAGUGCUGACUUGAUGGAGGCAGGUGCUCACUUUGAUUCUCGGUUAGCAACAGCUAUAGGAAGAUUCAUCAUUGAGGCUAGACUUGGCAAAGGUAUGUGUUUCCUGAGAUCAAUUGAUAUCUCUGGAAUCACCAAGGACAUGGAUGAGCUAGUUGUAGUGUUUUCUCGUGUGGUUGAUGAUGUUGGCGCCCGCAACAUAGUUCAAGUUGCCACAAAUGAUGUGUCACCACAUAUGCAAAUUGCAUGUCAUUAUGUGCAAAAGAAACAUGACCAUUCAUUCUUUGCUCCACUUUGUGCUGACUUCUGCAUUAACCAUCUGCUUGAGAAAAUAGCAGCACUGGAACAUGUCAGUGAGGUCAUAACAAAGGCAAAGGAAAUAACAAGGUUUAUAUAUGGCCAUACACUGACAAUGGAACUAAACGGAAGUUACAUCCAGGAGGAGAUUCCGAGCAGUUCUUAUCUGAAAUUUGUUGUUAUGUUUAUCACAUUAGAGAGGUUAGUUUCUGCAAGAUCCAAUCUUGUACAUAUGUUUAGCUCACCUGAAUGGGUUUCCUCUGGUUGGGCUUCUCAAGGUUUGUUCAGGCAUAUCCUUGGCAUAGUAAAGAUAGAUGAUGUGUUUUGGUGUACUGCUGAUGAUGGUUUAAAGGUUACAAAACCAAUUGUCGAUGUGUUAUUUAUACUAGAAUCUGAGGACUGUCCAAUGGGUAUCCUAUAUGAUGCCAUGGAUAGCGCAAAAGAAGAUAUUAAGCGCAAUCUUGGAGAUAAUGAUGGUCCUUAUUGGGAUUUAGUUGACAGGAUAUGGGAUUCUUACCUGCACAGCGAACUCCAUGCUACUGGUCAUCUACUAAACCCAAGGGUCUUCUACAAAGAUCCUUCACAUGAUGAUCCUGAGGUCAGAAGCGGUAUUGAGGCAUGCGCAACCGGAAUGGCCAAAGGGCAUUAUGAUCUAGGGAAAUUGGAAGCACAAAUUGAAGUAUAUAAAGGAAAAUCGGGUACUUUUGGUUCAGAUUCAGCAAGUCAGCAAAUAAUGGAGAUACCACAAGUUGAUUGGUGGGCGUCCCGUGGUACUGGCACACCUGAGUUGCAAAGCUUUGCAACUCAAGUCUUAAGCCAAACUUGCUUUGGCACUGAAAGGUACAACAUCAACUGGCAGGUAUCCGAGGAGGUGCAUAAGACAAGGCCAUGUAUAAUCCAAGAGCUGUACCAUGGACUGGAGUAUGUCCACUACAAUAAUUACUUUGCCUAUGUAGUCCCAUUCAUACGUGGUCUUUCUGGGGAUCAGUUUGAUAAACCUGUUAAGAGAAGGAAGAUCAGGGAAUGCAAUGUGGCAAGGUUUUAUUUCUCAUUUGGACCUUCCCCCUCUUGUUUUAUGAAAGGAUUCAAGUUUACAAAGACCCUAGCCCAAGGUGGCAAUUGUUUCCCCCAACUUUUAGGUCUAGUUGCACGGUUUGCAUUCCCUCCUGCCUACCUUCGCCAGUCCACCAUCUGGCGCCCAUCUUGUAUCAGCUUCGGUCGGUUCAUCCUUGACUGA